rnacentral:rRNA from 1 species
GGGGGAGCGAACAGGAUUAGAUACCCUGGUAGUCCCAGCAGUAAACGAUGUGAGCUUGAUGUGGGGGGAUUCGACCCCUUCGCGUGUCGAAGCUAACGGCGAUAAGCUCACCGCCUGAGGAGUACGGCCGCAAGGCUAAACUCAAAGAAAUUGACGGGGACCCGCACAAGCGGUGGAGUAUGUGGCUUAAUUCGAUGCAACGCGAAGAACCUUACCUGCCUGACAUGCAUUGGUCGUCGGUGAAAGCCGGCUAGUCCUGGAAACAGGACGCUUUGCACAGGUGCUGCAUGGCUGUCGUCAGCUCGUGUCGUGAGAUGUUGGGUUAAGUCCCGCAACGAGCGCAACCCUUGUGGUCAGUUACUAACCGGCUUAGCCGGAGGACUCUGCCAGACUGCCCUGUCAAACGGGGAGGAAGGUGGGGACGACGUCAAGUCAGUAUGGCCCUUAUGGCCAGGGCUGCACACGUACUACAAUGCCCGGUACAAUGUGAACCGAAACCGCGAGGUGGAGGAAAUCGCUCUUGAAGACCGGGCCCAGUUCGGAUUGGAGUCUGCAACUCGACUCCAUGAAGUCGGAAUCGCUAGUAAUGGCGUAUCAGCAACGACGCCGUGAAUACGUUCCCGGGUCUUGUACACACCGCCCGUCACAUCAUGGAAGUCUCCUGUACCCGAAGCACGUGCGCCAACCUUUCAGGAGCAGCGUUCGAAGGUAUGGGAGGUAACUGGGAUGAAGUUGUAAACAAGUAACC